CCCUUAGAUGUUCUGGGCUGCACGCGCGCUACACUGAUGCGCUCAACGAGUUUUAACCUUGCCUGGAAAGGUUGGGUAAUCUUUUUAAAACGCAUCGUGAUGGGGAUAGAUUAUUGCAAUUAUUAAUCUUCAACGAGGAAUUCCUAGUAAGCGCGAGUCAUCAGCUCGUGCUGAUUACGUCCCUGCCCUUUGUACACACCGCCCGUCGCUCCUACCGAUUGAGUGAUCGGGUGAAUAAUUCGGACUGCGGCAUUGACCGGUUCCCGAUCGUUGCUGCGGAAAGUUUAGUGAACCUUAUCACUUAGAGGAAGGAGAAGUCGUAACA
rnacentral:rRNA from 1 species